rnacentral:rRNA from 1 species
GGGUAAAAUCGGUAACUGGGGCUAAGUCGUAACAAGGUAGCCGUACCGGAAGGUGCGGCUGGAACACCUCCUUU